rnacentral:rRNA from 1 species
GACGAACGCUGGCGGCGUGCUUAACACAUGCAAGUCGAACGGAAAGGCCCUGCUUGUGUGGUGUGCUCGAGUGGCGAACGGGUGUGUAACACGUGUGUAACCUGCCCUUGACUUUGGGAUAACUUCAGGAAACUGGGGCUAAUCCCGGAUAGGAGCUCCUGCUGCAUGGUGGGGGUUGGAAAGUUUCGGCGGUUGGGGAUGGACUCGCGGCUUAUCAGCUUGUUGGUGGGGUAGUGGCUUACCAAGGCUUUGACGGGUAGCCGGCCUGAGAGGGGGACCGGCCACAUUGGGACUGGGAUACGGCCCAGACUCCUACGGGGGGCAGCAGUGGGGAAUAUUGCACAAUGGGCGGAAGCCGGAUGAAGCAACGCCGCGGGCGGGAUGACGGCCUUCGGGUUGUAAACCGCUUUCGCCUGUGACGAAGCGUGAGUGACGGUAAUGGGUAAAGAAGCACCGGCUAACUACGUG